rnacentral:rRNA from 1 species
UACGGAGGGGACUAGCGUUGUUCGGAAUUACUGGGCGUAAAGCGCGCGUAGGCGGAUUUGGAAGUCGGGGGUGAAAUCCCGAGGCUCAACGUCGGAACUGCUUUCGAUACUGCAAAUCUCGUGUCCGGAAGAGGUGAGUGGACUUCCUAGUGUAGAGGUUAAAUUCGUAGAUAUUAGGAAGAACACCAGUGGCGAAGGCGGCUCACUGGUCCGGUACUGACGCUGAGGCGCGAAAGCGUGGGGAGCAAACAGG